UGCAGCCCUGUCAAAUUCGAUCCCUGCCUCUUCCGUGGUGGGGACCGGCCAACCGGCUGCCACAGCGACUUCUGUGGUCCACCAGCCCCGUGUCCCCUUCCCGUGGGACGCUGGGGGGUGAAACGCCAUGGACACGU
rnacentral:snoRNA from 1 species